rnacentral:lncRNA from 10 species
CUUUCCCUCUUUUGCCCUUCCACUAUGGGAUGAUGCAGCAGGAAGGCCUUCACCAGAUGUCAGUCCCUCGAUCUUAGACUUCACAGCAUCCAAAACUAUGCUUGUUGUCCUGUUUUGAUCCUCUUCAAAAGGCCAUCAAGUUCCAGAUAAUCCUCAGUGACAGAUACCAUCCUCUCAACAUUCAAGAGUCACCCUUUGACAAUAGGCCCCUAGACUUUUGUCUUUUGCAGUUACAAAGCUGAAUCCAGUUUAAUGGUAGCAAUUACAUUAUUCUAUAUUAGAGAUAAGAAUAAGAAUUGGAAUAAGAAUUUGUAUUAUGAAUGCAAAUGCAAGCAAUCAUUCUGUAUAUAUAUAUACAUAAGUAUCACAAUUAAAAAAACCAUAAAUUCUGGAAGAGAGAUAUGAACUACAUGCUAGAGAUACAAAAAGUAGCCAGAAGUCCUAGACAAAGGAUUUGAGAAGAUUCCCAGGAAAGAAAUAUUAUUUAAAUUAGGAAUUGAUGGUUGAGUACUAAUUUUAAAAUAAUACUUUUUUUACCAUAAUUAGGUCUAUAUGGUAGAUUGAGUGAUGUAGAAAAAGAUUCAUCAGACUCUCAAAUUUAGGAAUACUAAGUAAAGUAACACCAACCAAAAUUAUUACACAGCUGAGCUUAAAAUCAAGUAGUUGCAGAAGGAUACAAAAAAUAUUAUACCACAUAUUUGUAAAAAGGCUAAAAAUAAGGAUAUAUAUGUUUAGUAAACUUACAGAGACACACUCAGAAAUCAUUAGCAUAAAAUUCAGGUCAGUGGUUAAAUAUAGGUUGCCUGUGUAUGUCAGGGUAAGAUCAUUGGUGAGUAGAUAAAACAGUUCAAAUAUAUAUGAAAUAUCUUAUUUUAAAAAUAAUCUGAUAUAGGUAUUUUUAAUUCAUUGAGCUUACCAUCUUUCCAGUGCCCAUUUAUUUCUGUCAUGUUCUCACUUUCCUCCAUAUUAAUCCACAAUUACAAUCUCUGCUUGCUCACUUACCUAUUUCCC